UCAGAUUGAACGCUGGCGGCAUCGCCUUACACAUGCAAGUCGAACGGUAACGGCUCGGGUGCCGACGAGUGGCGAACGGGUGAGUAAUGCAUCGGAACGUACCUUUCAGUGGGGGAUAACGUAGCGAAAGUUACGCUAAUACCGCAUAUUCUGUGAGCAGGAAAGCAGGGGAUCGCAAGACCUUGUGCUGAUUGAGCGACCGAUGUCAGAUUAGCUAGUUGGUGAGGUAAAGGCUCACCAAGGCGACGAUCUGUAGCGGGUCUGAGAGGAUGAUCCGCCACACUGGAACUGAGACACGGUCCAGACUCCUACGGGAGGCAGCAGUGGGGAAUUUUGGACAAUGGGGGCAACCCUGAUCCAGCCAUGCCGCGUGAGUGAAGAAGGCCUUCGGGUUGUAAAGCUCUUUCGGCCGGGAAGAAAUCGCAUGGGUUAAUACCCUGUGCGGAUGACGGUACCGGCAUAAGAAGCACCGGCUAACUACGUG
rnacentral:rRNA from 1 species